rnacentral:pre_miRNA from 1 species
UUCAGUGCUCCUCAAUGUUUACCCUGUAGUUCCGGAUUUGUCUUGAAUCUCAGCAAAGCAAACAAAUUCGAUUCCUCGGGGUUUCAUGUUGAGUGAGACUU